rnacentral:rRNA from 1 species
AACGAACGCUGGCGGCAGGCUUAACACAUGCAAGUCGAGCGGGCCCGCAAGGGUCAGCGGCGGCCGGGUUAGUAACGCGUGGGAACGUGCCUCUUGCUUCGGAAUAGCCCUGGGAAACUGGGGGUAAUACCGGAUGGGCCCUGAGGGGGAAAGAUUUAUCGGCACGAGAUCGGCCAGCGUUGGAUUAGGUAGUUGGUGGGGUAACGGCCCACCAAGCCGACGAUCCAUAGCGGGUUUGAGAGGAUGAUCAGCAACACUGGGACUGAGACACGGCCCAGACUCCUACGGGAGGCAGCAGUGGGAAUCUUAGACAAUGGGCGCAAGCCUGAUCUAGCCAUGCCGCGUGGGUGAUGAAGGCCUUAGGGUCGUAAAGCCCUUUCGCCGGGGAAGAUAAUGACGGUACCCGGUAAAGAAACCCCGGCUAACUCCGUGCCAGCCGCCGCAGUAA